UAGGGAAUCUUCCGCAAUGGGCGAAAGCCUGCCGGAGCAACGCCGCGUGAGUGAUGAAGGUCUUCGGAUCGUAAAACUCUGUUAUUAGGGAAGAACAAAUGUGUAAGUAACUAUGCACGUCUUGACGGUACCUAAUCAGAAAGCCACGGCUAACUACGUGCCAGCAGCCGCGGUAAUACGUAGGUGGCAAGCGUUAUCCGGAAUUAUUGGGCGUAAAGCGCGCGUAGGCGGUUUUUUAAGUCUGAUGUGAAAGCCCACGGCUCAACCGUGGGGGGUCAUUGGAAACUGGAAAACUUGAGUGCAGAAGAGGAAAGUGGAAUUCCAUGUGUAGCGGUGAAAUGCGCAGAGAUAUGGAGGAACACCAGUGGCGAAGGCGACUUUCUGGUCUGUAACUGACGCUGAUGUGCGAAAGCGUGGGGAUCAAACAGG
rnacentral:rRNA from 1 species